AAUUUUGGACAAUGGGGGAAACCCUGAUCCAGCCAUCCCGCGUGUAUGAUGAAGGCCUUCGUGUUGUAAAGUACUUUUGGCAGAGAAGAAAAGGUAUCUCAUAAUACGAGAUACUGCUGACGGUAUCUGCAGAAUAAGCACCGGCUAACUACGUGCCUGCAGCCGCGGUAAUACGUAGGGUUCAAGCGUUAAUCGGAAUUCCUGGGCGUAAAGCGGGGGUAGGCGGUUCCGAAAGAAAGAUGUGGAAUCCCAGGGCUCAACCUUGGAACUGCAUUUUUAACUGCCGAGCUAGAGUAUGUCAGAGGGGGGUAGAAUUCCACGUGUAGCAGUGAAAUGCGUAGAUAUGUGGAGGAAUACCGAUGGCGAAGGCAGCCCCCUGGGAUAAUACCGACGCUCAGACACGAAAGCGUGGGGAGCAAACA
rnacentral:rRNA from 1 species